rnacentral:rRNA from 1 species
UACGUAGGGCGCAAGCGUUGUCCGGAAUUAUUGGGCGUAAAGAGCUCGUAGGCGGCUUGUCACGUCGAUUGUGAAAGCCCCGAGGCUUAACCUCGGGUCUGCAGUCGAUACGGGGCUAGCUAGAGUGUGGUAGGGGAGAUCGGAAUUCCUGGUGUAGCGGUGAAAAUGCGCAGAUAUCAGGAGGAACACCGGUGGCGAAGGCGGGUCUCUGGGCCGUAACUGACGCUGAGGAGCGAAAGCGUGGGGAGCGAACAGG